ensembl:lncRNA
CCCAAAUCAAAAACCCAAAGUCCCCCCACGGUCCUCUUUCUCUAAAUGGGGAUUAGUGCGGGGCUCGCCAUAAUCUGUGCAAAAAUACUGCAUAUUAGUCAUCUCAAAAGGAUUUCUUUGACUGUGAAUGAUGUAUUUAUUUCCCACGGACGCAAAGACGGCGGCUGCGUGAUUCUAAAUCCGUCCCUGGUUUGUUUUCCUUCUCGUCAUGCCUGGAUAGCAGAACAGAUCACCAGCUGUUGUCGGUUUGGUGACUACUUCUCCCAAUUCAGCUUAUUGAUAUAAUGGCCAAUACCGGGCCGUUUGGGAGCAGCCAUAAUACUUCGACACACACCAGUACACUGUGCCAACGUGCCAACUUCUCUGGGAUCAAAACGACCUUCCUGUUCCUUCCAGUGUAAAAUGCUGACGUGGCUUUCAGCUGGCUGGUGUUGGUUGUUUUCUGUGUGAAACACUGCCAGUGUGUGUUGUUCACUCGACUCUAUUCAGCUUGUUUUUCUUCCUCUCCACUAAUUCAAGGUAUUGACACUGACACACGAGCAAAAGAUUAAUACAUUAAUCCUGAUUAUUACUUUAACCCGCUGAGUGAUGCCUCCAGAUUUUUUCCUUCUUUUUUUUCUUCUCCUUUUUAAAUGUGCACAAGACAAAACAACUCUGCCUUAACUGUUGCAAGUCUCUUCAUGUCUCAGUAAGCAAAGAUCAAGGAAGGAUUAAAGGUGUCUAACAUCCAAUCUAACCAUAAUUUCCUCUGAAAUUUUUGCGCUUUUGAUCUGAAGAUCAAAACACCCGUUUCUGAUCUGAAAACUGGUGUUUUUUUCUUAACACCUUCUGAAACACCAGCCAGUAAAGACAAAGAUUGGAUUAAUGGCAGCCAGCCUUAUUAGGUUUUUUUUCUCCUUUGAUUUUUGUGUAGUCAGCCAUAAGCUUUUUCAAUUUAUCACCAUUAAUGUUUUGGCCUGGCUCAUAUUUGCCGUAUGCGGCGAGAGCUGAAAUCCGUCCAUUAGCAGUCAAUAUAUUUAUGCUGUCACAAUCUUCGCCUUACAUUUAUCAGAGAGGUUUUCAACAACCGAGCUGAUGAAGAUUGUGUUGACCGGCGUUUUUUUUCCAGAGCACAAUGCAUUGCAAACACUGCCUUGAAAUAUUGCAUCUGAGUUAAAAAAGUGCCUUUUUUCCUACGAUAAGGAAAGUAUUUAUUUUUGUACUUUAUUAUUCAAACGUAUAUCAAAUUUCUUUUUGAACUGGGAAUGUUUGACCAAACAUUGGGAAUUUGGUCUCGAAUUAAACGCAACAAGAUUUAGAAUUUGAUCGACUGAGGACUUUUUGUGCGCUGACGGGGUGUUUGCGUACUGCUGCCUUCCCAAUCCGUCACAGGCCCAUCGUGCAUUUAUCUACUAACUACCUUUUCACCCGUCAAUCUCUUACUUUCCCUCUGUUAUGUUUAACAAACAUUCCUCCAAUGAGUUAAACGGCAGGUUAACUAAUCAGUAGCACUCAGGUGGUCAAAGGGCAAAUGCUACCAAAUUACAAAAUUAGUUUUUUUUUUUUUUUUUUUUAGCCCCACUGGAUUUUUGUGUUUCUCUUUAUUUUUUGACUGUGAUGAGUAUGCAUAAAAAGUAUCAUUUUUUUCCUAAAAGUAUGCUAGUACAUGGUCUAUACUGUAAGUUCCUCAUCCAUAUAGUGGUGCACUAAAAUGUGACAUUUCUUUUGUGGACAAAGUUUUUCUGUGAAGUAGCUUUUGGUUUUGUGUUGUUUUUACAGCGAAUUAGACUCAGAACUUUGAAUAGGGUGUCAAAUAUGUAAUGCCAGUUUUUGUAGCUCACACCAAAAGAACAAAACAAAGGAAAACAAUUGUGUGUGCAAUAAAGAACCAUAUUUACAAGCUUCCCCCUGACUGCUUUACCUCGACUGGUCCUUUACUCCUGCGCUCAUACUUCUUCACCAGUGACAUCGCUUCUUCGGGACGUUUGAAGGUAGGUGAGCCAAAUUGGAUUAGGAAAGGAAAUAUGAAAGUUCAUCACCCGCCUAAGCCCUCAGAGUGAGAAACAAGCGCUCUCCUGGAUCUUAGUGUGAUUGUAAAAAUGUGCAAAAGCUUUCCAUCUGUAGGUGGAGAGCGGUCAAAUCCAGUUCCGGCUCAAGUCAUUCUGUUGUCUAAACUGAUGUUUUAAAGUCUGAGCCGAGGACCAGCGGCGGAUACAGAGUCCCACUCAAUAAAAGCCCCUCUGCUGCAAACUGAACACUGACGCUACUCAGACGGCUCCAUCGUCGUAAAGGCUGACGGUACGCAGCCGUGUUCAAACCCGUCACGGCUGCACUCUGCGAACUCACCGCUGAGGUCAAACCGCUCAGGAGAAGCUGCACGUUGCACCGAAUGAGCUGCAGCGUCUGAAAACUGCAACGUUACGUUUGUUCUAUCAGACUAAACAAUCCGGAUGUUCUCUUAACAUGAAAACGGUUUAGAACGUAAUGAAACCGUCGUAAUGGGGAGAGCCGCUCUGGAGUCGUUUCUUUCUCUGUGAAGGACGUUCUGGUGAAAACAUCCCCCUAUUUAGUGAAACAACUUCAUGCUUUCUUUCCUUUAUUUCUGUGUUUUGUCGCCCUCAUAAAGGAAAGAAUUACCACUUCAUACCGAUUUCACAAGACUUCUAUAAUGUCAAACUAUUUCCCAAGGGACAACCGAUUGCAACUAUCCUGUUUAUGCAAAACAAUGAACAAAAAUAAAUCUAAUUUGCCGGUAGAACAUUGGGACCCAAAUAACAUCCUGUCUAUUAACACCAAACCUAAUGAGUACACCAGAGUGAGUCUCACUGUUGCUGCCGCCAUCUAAAAACAGCAGCAUAAUCUUGUUAACAAACACUGACGGUAUUUAUGCCAUAAGCCGGGUUGUCUUCUUCAUUUAGAUUCCGUACGUGCACCAAGUGGAUGCAAACUGGUGUUCUUUACUCAAUCAGCGUACGACAGGCACAGGUGGUAAAUCUAAUUCAUCGUAAACAAACACCCGAGUCCCCCCACGUUUCUUCCCUUAUUUUGUUUGCUGCAGGCCUCAGCACAUCCUCAGAGUCAUGUACCCUAAUUAUCGAACACACCGUCUCCAGGAUGCCGGGGAGUCGGGUGCACGUAGCUGCAGGAGCAACAGAACGCGCUAACGCCGUGUUGAAAGUAAUGGCAACUCUUCUCCCAUUAAUUAAUGACAGUGCUGCAGUAUAUUCCCGUUUACACCAGUAAGCAACGCCCGUGGGCUUCCUGAUGACCUCCGACCUGUGAGGAGGGGCGGUGUGAAUGAUCAGUAGCAGCCGUUCUCCCUAAUUCGAUUCACUAAUAAAAACAAAGGGCUUAGAGGUGGACGUCUCAUCGCAGCACAAGCUGGCAAGGACACAUCUUCCUCUCUGCGCUCCUCUCAUCCUCCUGCUGCAGGACAGAGAUGCUUCUGCUGAAUAGGGCAGUGGGGAGUAAACGCUUUGUGGUGGUGGUGGGGGGGAGCGCUGGAAGUGACUCUAAUGUCAUGCAGGAAGCAGGGAGCGAGGAAGAGAAGUGGAAGGAGGAGGGUGCCGAUGGUGCUUUUGGCUCCCCGGGAAGAUGCAUCAAAGGAGCAUUUGUCGCAGAGACCAGCUGGGAGUCUAAUCAAGGAAAGAGAACCGGAGUGUGUGUGUGUGUGUGUGUGUUUUUUGGAGGGGCAGAGUGGAAGGGUUGCAUCAGUAGUGACAGAUGAACCAGCUUCCUGUGAAAUGAAUAUAGGGCAUUCAUCAGAGUGCAGCUGUUUCUCUGUAUCUUUGUGUGCGCGUGAGAAAGACGGACUUGUUUUAGAGCGCGCAGUUGUUGCAGGUCUCAAGCUCAUAGUGAUGAAUGAAACUAGUUCUUUAGGCACCUGUGCCGAAUGACACAGUCUAGCAGCUGGAUUUUGUGCGUUUGUCACUGAUUGCGUGUGUGUGUGUGUGUGUGUGUGUGUGUGUGUGUGUGUUAGAACGAUUGCAGCAGUCAGAAAGAAAGACAGUAGAAAGAAGAGCGGUGGUUUAUCUUUUUGCAGCUAGAGAGUAUUUUCUCAUUUUGCAAGUCUCUCUAAUAUAAAUCACUCUGGGUUGUAAAUAAUGGGUGUUUUCUUUCCAAGAAAUGCUCUUGAGGACUUUACCUGUUUUUGGCAGCUGCAAAUACUCGGAUGGUGGAUGUUUCGUACAAUCAAAUAUAUUCAGGGAAAAAAAUCAUUUAAUUUGUCCAUAAGGAUGUCUGCUCAAACAGGUCGGUUUACAUUUUCCCUGCUCUGUCUCGUCCCCGCUGACACAUGUCACGGCAAGAAGUAAAAAAAACAAAACGGUCCCGUCACUCCGGCGUGGACAAAACAAUGAAUCUUCCUCGUCAGUUUUGUGGGCCGUCCAGCUGCUGGGAACUGUUUUUGUGUUGAGUGAUUCAGACAUGUGUGGAUACUGCAAACCUGCUCUGUCACCCGAUACUGACAGAGAGGCUAGUGAGUGUGUGAGUGUGUGUGUGUGUGUGUGUGUGUGUGUGUGUGUGAGAGAGAGCUUUACAAUGCAUAAAAUGUAAGAAAAGUCAUCGAUGCAAACAAACUACAGGAUAAUGUUUAGCUUGUUAAGCGAAAUGAUGGAUUCAUUACACUCGGUUUCUUAGAAGUACCGUAUGAUCCAUAAUUUAAUUACCUUCAAGAAUAAUUAAACAUCUUCUGAAUACAAGAGGCAUUAGGAUUUUUUUAAUAUGAUGGGUUUUUUUUACGGAAGGUUAUUAAAGGACUGGUGCUGGUAUUAUUAUUUAUGCGAGCAGCUGCAGCGCCAGCUGUGUUUUAAAGCUUUCUGUGUAAAAAUGUUCUAAAAUGUCUUUUGUAGUGCGACACGGAUGGAGGCUCACGUAGCACUGCUAACCGGCUAUGAAUCAGCAGCAUUGUGGGAAGUCCACAAGCUGCCUGUGCUGCUUCUGCUCUCAUUCUAAGCCUUUCUAUGCUGCUUCAUGCUGUUGUUCUUCCUGCACUAUGAAAGAGUAGCUGGCACACAUCGAAAGUGGAAGACUGACACACGUGAGCACUCAAGGUUCAAGCUUUAAACAACUACUUUAUUUCAAAUAGGUGAGAGGUGACCUUCCUCUCUCGUGGCUCCUCUGUGGUUUGAACCCUGGAGGUGAUGGCGAUCAUGUAACCAGUUUCCCCAAACAAUCCUGCAUACAGAUAAUCACAGCAACAAAUGAAGACAACUGCACUCUGUUUCACUGUUUCAGGAUGAGAAUCUUUGACUCGAUGCUAGAAAUACUACUGAUUCUAAUCUGGAAAGCACCACAGGCGUGCACGCAGACUUUACGACUGAGUGUGUGUGUUCUCAAGCACAAUUAUGUAUGUGUAUGUAUGUGUGUAUGUACUGUAUGUGUGUGUGUGUGUGUGUGUGUGUGUGUCAGUUCACCCUGGGAAAUGAAAACGCUGACCCAAUUUAAUACACCUGUGUCUCACUGCACUCAAUCACACACACACACACACACACACACGCCAAACCGACUCGUGCGGACAACAGUUCUCACACGUCACAUAAUCCCAGAUCCCAGUUCACUCUGCCGGAUUUACUGUCGUAAUGCAUCAAAUGUUCAGCGGAAACAACAGAUGUAAAUUAUUUUUUGGAUUCAUGCUGUGGGGGAUUUGCAUACUGGGUGUGGUUCCCCCUUCGGGCUGAGCUCCCAGCAUGCCGUUCAGGUCCUGGUGAGCAGCUCUGCGCCGGGCAACCUCACGCUGAGAGUUGAGGCAGUGAUGAACUUCUUGCCGUCCGACAUCCUCACAGACAUAUUCUCCUCCACAUCCCCGAGGCACAGAGAUGUCACAUCAGCACGGUGCUGUCGCUUCUCCUGUGUGUGUGUGUGUGUGUGUGUUCAGGGAGACGUGUACUUCCUGUGGGUGUGUGUAGUUAAUGUGGUCACGCAGCGGUUGUAAACAUAAGGAAGAACCUUUUUCUUUGUUCUUUCCCUCCUUUUUUUGGGGUGUGAGAUCAGUGUCGGCACUCACUCUCCUCACAGCAGCUGGUCAGGGGCCUUGUGAAUGAGGUACCAUCACACACACACACACACACACACACGCACACGCACACGCACAGAAUAGACUUGUCAGUAGUUGUCAAUCUUUUAAAAUACAAAAGUGUGAGUCAGUGUGUUUCUAUUAAUUACCUUCAUGCAAAUACACCCAAGAAGAUGGGCGGAGAAGAGGAACAUCUCUAAACAUCACAUGAACUUUGUCAAAAUACUCUUCUCAUCUUAGUGACUUUUUUUGUUUUGUAAACCAGUGUUUCCAAAAUCAAGAAGGGAGACGGGCGCAGUCACACAGAUCUGCUCCAUCUGGCAAACGAUGUAGAAGAGGGUGAACUUUGAUUUGACUCUUCAUCAAAUCGCUGUCCGUCCUGUAGCAGUUUCCACCCUUCGUUCCAUCGUUGACCAGCCUCAGUUCUGCUGUGAGCCCCUCUGCCUAAACGUUUGCUCCUCAUUCAUUCAUCCGCAGCUUCUCUCCUGACCUCCUCACACCAGCUCUCACCCCCUCUCACCCGCUCUCACCCGCCGGCCUUUCCCUCCCCAGCUGCUGCCCCUCAGAACCGGGUUACACCGCGUCGUCCUUCCCGUGAGUCCCACUCUGCGUCCACCCCUCCACCCCCCCUCCCCCCGGUGCCGUCGCCCUCCUCUGAUCCAAGACAUUACGUCGCUAAUUGAAGCUGGCAGCCACAUCAAUCUCGCAGCGCGGUGUAACUCGGCACCAGGCUGUCAGUGUUCCCUGUUGUUCCACCCAGCUGAAGCCCGAGGAGGCACAAGGAAAGCUGUAAUGUGACCCUGUUGAUUAUUAGGGUUGCACAUCUGGAGUCGUCAACACUGCACCUGUAAUCAGCACAGGAGAGAUGUAUGUACCUGUGUGCAGCUUCGACCAUCCCGCGGUUUGAUUUUGAGUUCCAUUCCAUUGUUGCAGUCUUCGGUGGCACUGUAUUAAAAUGACUUCCCACUUAGCAUUAGCACACUAGAUAAAAUGAUGUACAGUAUUUACUACAGUCUAUUUACUACAUAAUACAUAUUGUAUGUUGCUCACUACAAUGACUCUAUAUGCUCUCAAAUCCACCGUUGAACCAUUUGUGUGGAAAAAUUCUCUCUUUUGAUGUCUUACUGUCUGUCAAUACUUAACAGUGUAAACAGUGGAUUAAGUCUUAAUUCAUUCAAUGAUUUAGUUUGAGUGUAUUAUUUGUUUUAUUUGUAUUUUCCUGUAUUUAAUGUUUCAGCUGUGCGUUUCCUUCGAGGUCAAAAGUCACUUAUGCUCUGAUGAAAGCUUCACAAUGAGGCAUCGAGUCAAAAUGAUGUUCCAUGAAUUUGAUCCGUGGUGAAUGAAUGUACCAGAGGUAUCCGUGCAGGAGACGCACGCACACACACACACACACACACACACACACACACACACACGUUUCCUCUGACGAUGUCAUGACUGUGGAAGCUUGUCCAUGUCCACUCUGAUCACAGUCUGCAUCUCCCUCUGUCUGUCUGCCAAUAUGUGCUCAGCCUGCUGUUUUCCACCUCUUCACUGCAUCGCUUAGUCUGCUGGUAGGAAGGUAAAGAGGUAGAAGGACACACACAAGAAGACCUCAUGAAUGUCUCUUGCUCUCUUUGGUCAUUUGAGACCAUGAGUCAAACUUUCUGACAUUUUUCUAAUUUGCUGUUAAAAAGACAACGUUAAUAUUCUAAAAAUUGAAUAAAAUGCAAAUGCAAUUUGUAAUGUGGAAAUGGUCCAUUAAAGGCAGCAGCAAACGGAAAAGUCUUGAAUCUGCCUGUGGCUUUCUGGGACUUUGUUCCAGAUGUGUGGAGCCGAAGAACUGAAGCUGCUUCUGCAUGUUUGGUUCUGACUCUGGGGACAGAAAGUAGACCCGUCCCAGACGACCUGAGGGUUCGUGGCCUUAAAACAUUCAGCGCUUUAUGAACCUACGGGAGGAUUUUGAAGUCAAAUCUUUGUUUGACAGGAAGCCAGCGUAAAGACCUGAGACCUGGUCCCAGUGAGGACUGCAGCGUUCUGAUUGACUAAGUCUACUCAAGACAAAUGCAUGGACAAGUUUGUUCAAAUCUGGUUGAAACAUAUAAGUCCUCUAAUCCUUGAUAUAUGUUUUAGCUGAUAGUCUGCUGAUUUUGUAACAAUGAGACGCAUUUUUGUUUUUCUGCAGAAUGUUUCCCAUUCAAUCUCAUAAAUGAGCUUUGCCCGCGAGGGAUUCUCUCUGUAGAUUCAUCUGACAUUGCAUUUUAAUAGGAAAAAAAGUUUUAUAAUUGGAAAAUGGGCCGCUGUACAAACAACUCCACGACGCAAGACUUGAAACCGAAAGCCUGAGAAAUAUUUGCAUUUACUGGGCUGAAGAAGAUCAAAGGUGUUCCCAAGGUCGUAAUAGACUGUGUGAGAAGCAGCCCGACAUAAAAGUAACAUAAAAGAGUUCAUUGGGCUGCGCCGUACCAACUAUCUUUGAACAAAUGUAAAUCGCAGAUGGAAUAUAUUAGCAGCAGUGUUUUAAUAUAGCAACAUCUAUUUGCUAUGUAAAUACACUGAGGAGUGACGUCAUCCCGAGCAGACAGCUCUGUACUCUGUGUGUGUGUGUGUGUGUGUGUGUGUGUGUGUUAGCAUAUUUGAGCGAGGCCCUCGGCUGCUUCACGACCCGGACUCACGCGGCCGUUCCAGCGGACGACGUUCUCGGCGCCGUAGUCUUUGGUUUCCCCUUUGGGAGCUGUUUCAUAACUCAGCCCGCAGCCGUAGAGAGGGAAUGCUGGGAAUUCUGUCGAUCUUUGUUUCUCUCCCAAGUCGACAUGCGUGUUCGCAAUCCACGGAAACGUUAAACACCAGCAACCACACGCAAGUAAUCGCUAGAAUUAAUUACAAAAGGAGAAAGGAUUGAAACACAAAACACGGACAUGACGGCAUUGCAGAUGUACAAAAAACAAGGGAAGACAUCAACAUGCUGUUGCACAAUAGCAGGGAGUUUUCAUUGAGCUGUGUUAAGCACAGCUUAUCAGCCAAUCUGCCUUUUCUCUCUCCAUCUCACACACACACACACACACACACACACACACACACACACACACACACACACACACACACACACACACACACACACACACACUCACACACACACACACACACACACACACACACACACACACACACACACACACACAAUCAUGUAGGCCCGGGGCAACUUUUCAUUAACGUUGUGGUAUUACUUGAAACCCAUUAAAAUAGGCCCCUCGUGAUCUAAAUCCAAUAUUUUGUGCAUUUCUCCCUCCCAUCACCGGCAUCAUGCUUUCCUCUAUCCAGCCCAAUCCUAAGAGAGAAGAUUCAUUAUCUCUUGUUUGGACAGGGAUUAUGCUGAUCAGGGCGGCUUAUGGCAGAAGAUAUAAAGACUCUUAAUAUAACUCUUCAGCCGUUGCAGCAAUGUGCCAUCUAAUUUAAAGCAUUCAACGCUCACACACACACACACACACACACACACACACACACACACGUGUUAAUGUGCGCGUGCGUGUGCUGACGAGGAGGAGAAAGAAAGGCGGAUGCUUUUCUUUUAGCGGGGAACGAAGACAUCAUUUCUCCAACUUCGCACCGUGACUAGUGCCAGUGUUUGAAGCAAAUCUCCAAAUCUAGGAUUUAGAGAUUGCUCGUGGCCUCUCCUGUUUCUACCAUAUGGUGAAGUCCCACAACUUAAAUGGAAACAUACAGGGCCAGAUUCAUUAUCAUAGUGAUUUUUCAUUAGCAUAUCUGCUCCUAUCAAACUGCCGUUCUUAUUUUACCCUUAAAACAGGAGCAUCUUCUACAAAGCUCCAUCAUCUGAGAAAACCCAAAACAUUAAAUUCUGUUUCAACAGUUGAUGUUGAAUGGGAAUUUUGAGUCAUAGUUUAGGAACAGCUGGGUGCCUUUUUAUUACUGGAGUAUAAGUGUGAGGAAUUCAAAUGAAGUCACAUUUGCAAAAGGAAUCAUGUCCUUCAGCACCUUCAUCAUUCAACACUUGAGGAAUCUGCUUUUUUUUCUCCCUUGUUUCUUUCACUUUGUCAGCAGGGAACACGAGUUUAAAAAGUGCCGCUCCGUCAUUAUGUGCAAUCAGUCAUUUUUCAAGGUUACCCAUUUUUCUGUUUUUCAUCAUGAGGUGUAGAACAAGACUAUGCACUUUUUUUUUUCCCCGUCUCAUUAUUUGGAAGAUGUUCGAAUCAGAACCUCAGGGAAUCACUGCGCUUGCAUAUAGAUGUAGCCCAUUGAGUCAUGAGGAUCAACCCGCUGAGCAGCACAGAGAGCCACCAAACUGGCAGCUCUGCAAAUAAUUACAUGUUCAUCUACUCCUUUAAUGGGGAGACGUAAAAUACUUGCAUGUGACGUCUGUGAGUGGGUGCAGACGCUCAGACGGGAGGGAGACGCAGUGCAUCCGUCCUCCCUCCUCAGUGGGUAAAUUAUCACAGGCCUCACCACAUCACAGUCCCCUGCAAUUCAAACUCUACUUCAUUUCCUGCCGCUGUUUAUGUGCCACUGAAGACCGUUUUUAUGAAGGUAUCUGUCUUCUUGAUGUCCGCGUCAUCCGACAAUUCAUUGUCAGCUGAAUUGGCCAGGAGAAUGAUAGCCGUGGUGCUUUCAGCAAAAAUAUUAUCAGAUUAUUCAUUUUUUUUUCUUUUCUUGCCUUUGUUUAUUUGUUAUUUAUUUGUAGUGUCAUUCUGGUAAAUAAUCUGCUGCACAGUAUCUGUGUACAGUUGAUGCAUCUAUUUCCAUUUCCUGCAUAUUUGAAAUUGAGCUACAGGAGGAAAAAUGCAGAUGUGCGCAAACAAAAGUUGCCAUUAGCAGAGACGGGUGAGGAUAUUGUGCUCGACUAGAGUGGCUGGGGCGAGGCAAUUUGUGUACAGCGCACACUGUGAGUCCUCAUCAGAAUAAAAGUCAUUUAAAUGCAGCGUUCCACAGAUGUGCACGCACACGCGGAGACUUAAGAUUCUUUAUGUGACCCGGUUUCUGAGGUCCUUCCUUUCAAACCUGAGGAGCACUGGUGCACAAUAUAAAAAUCUUUAAAACAAAUACAUAAAAUAUGACCUGUUCUGAAAGACAAUCAAUAUUGCAUGUUUGUCUGGAGGAGAGCUGCUGAUGCAUUUGCUGUGCUGACUUUUCCAAUUUCUACAUCUAAGAUUACCAUCGCUUUCGAGUACGCGGCUCAUUUAAAAAAAAAAAAAAGAAUUUCAUUCUGCAGCUGUAUGCCCCGAGGCUCUGUGAGAGAGGAACGUGCAUUAAUGAAAUGAGAGACAGACAGUGUUAUUUAAAUCACCUCAACAGCGUAACCCAAGGCCGAACACGGGCUCCCUGCUGCUUCCCAGACCAGGGCUCUGUUCUGUCACCAGCGCAGGUCAACAGGCAGAUAUCAGGUUAAACUAAUCCUUUUGACUCACAUUCGGGUGAUUCGGUUCCUUUAAAGCUGUUUGCCCCAUUUGUGGAUCAUGAAUGAAGUCACGUUGGGUGAAUGAGCACUUUCAUACAGAACAUGAAUAUUCUGCUGUUAAAAAGCAGCAUUGUUUCUUUUGUUGGUUGAUAAACCAACAUUCUGCAUUCACUACACUGCAACACUGCAAACGUCGACUUCUUUCAACCGUAACAAUAUGAUUGAUGUUAACUUCGUUAUGGUUUAACCACGUUAACUUGUGCUACUGCAGACCUGGAAUCCUGUCUGUGCAUUCAGAAGGAAACCUCAAAGAAGUCAUUUGGUGUGUGUGUGUGUGUGUGUGUGUGUCUGUGUGUGUAGAGCCUUUUGCUUGCCAAGGCUUCACAAGCUACCUGUUCUCCCACAACAAUUAAGCCAAGCCUCUUUACAGUAUCUCCGCUCCAAUUAAUUUUAAUAUUUAAACAGCCAUGCAGAGACUUCUGAACCCACUAACGCAAGAUUAAAGUAAACUCAAUUAAAUAUUGAUGGCCAUAAAUAAACACUUUAAUUUGGUGAGCCACCACGGUGCCCAGUGAAUCAAGAGAAAAAAUGGUUUCAGCUGAAAUGUUAUGCUUAUUAGCUGAGCAAAUGUGAAACCAGGGGAGUCGGAGGAGGAGGGGAGAGGAGGGAUGCAUGUGGAGGGACGAAAAUGGGGUGAAAAAAGACAACGUACUGCUGGCUUUCUGUCCUCUGUGAGAAAUGAUGUCAUCUGCGGAAACGGUCACAUGACCAUACUUCCUUUUCUACGGAUAUGAAUCAUCUUUGAAUCAAUCGAUCUUGUUUUAAAGCUACAAUCCAUUAGUUUUGACAUGUUUGAACCACUUGAGUGAUUAAAAAUACAAAAAAUAUUAUAUGUUACCUGAAGAUUACAGAAUAUUUACAAUAGCAGCUGUAUUUAAACAGCCCGACAAAUUGUACUGUAGAGAUUCCCCAUGAAUUACAUGGCAUCAUUCCUCCGUUUACAUAUAAAUGACAAAAAUAAGCAGAAACAAUGUCUGUCUUUGGGAGUUGAUGCACAGAUAAUCUGAGCGGAAAUGUUUUAGAGGAGUUAACUUCAGAACCCAAGCCUCACGUUCGAGCUUCAUUGACCUGCAGAGCACCACGGCAACGGAGGUUUAUCACAGAAACGUCUUCUGUGACAUUACGAUAUCCGCCCUUCAUCCUUCCAGCUCUCUGAAUAAUUUUGUUUUUAUCUAAAACGGGCUGGAAGAUGUUACAGAACUUGCAGGCAGAAAACAGGUCCUUGAGAGGCUGUCCACGUGCUCGGCUCUGCGACUGACAGUGAAUCAUUGAUGCAGCGCAGGAAACAUGAUGAGAGCUUGAUUAAGGACAGGGAGAGAUGGGCUCCAAUGUUAAAUCAGUCCACACCGAAGGCUGAUUUACAUCAAAAAUUCAAGGUGCUGAAGAAUCUUGCAUCCGACUGGUCGGCGAGUGUGACCACGGAACUGGCACAUUUUAAAUAUUGAAGCAACUUUUUAAAUGUUGGAGCUCACGAACUGCACGUACGUAUACAAAAACAUACACUACAGAUUAUUUGUCAUCAAAAUAUGAGUAUUUGGCAGUUUUACAUUCACGCAAACAAUUCAUCAAAAACGUGCCACUUACCUACAAAUGCAGAAUCAAAGACCAACAUGUACGCACAGACCCAUUCACAGAGAACCCAUCUUCAAGCCGAUGAAUUCAUAAGCUGUUGUGUAUCCUGAGCAGAGCUGACUUACAUGACAGCCUCCUGACAGCUCCCAUACACAGGCAGCUUGCUUGUUUUAGAUAUAUACAGUAUAUUGGGAAAGUUAUUCAAGAUCGAGUGUGGGAGGUGGAGGAGCAUAAACACCACAUGAAUAAAUAGAAAUCAAACAUUCAGCUCUGGUGGUUUUGGCAUUUGGAGCAGCGGUAUGGGGGGGAGGGGGCGGGUGUCAGGGGUUAAGGCAACCGGGUUUGACAAGGGGGCCACGACGGGCAGCCGCCGCUGUCAGAGCGCCAGGUGGUGAUGCGUGAACUGGCGGCGGGGGGAGAAGGAGACGUAAGGCGUUGGAUUCCAAUGCUGGUAGCUGGGGAGGACCGUGAGACUGUGGGACGGGUCCCUGAACGCAGCUUCCACCUUGACAGAGCUCCGGACCUGCUGCAUACACGCUCGCACCGAAUCAUAGGAGACGUGCAAGAGGCCCUUUAUGUGGAAGCAAAAAGUCGCGCUCCUUUGACAGGCUGCGGUAGGAAAGCAGAGGGGGAACCAUGACAUGUGGUUGGACGUUAAGCAAAGGUCAGAUUCAGACUUAAACGGCCAAACAUUAAGAGACAUUGAUCAUCGGCUAGCUAAUAAGGGUUGUAGGCCUGUGCCUCUGUGUGAUUGGCGAUAAAUGAUCACCAGUAACCCGGCGGACUUAUCUGAUUUCCCCCUGCACAUGUGGGCAUUUUAAGAUUCCUGAUGCUUACUGCCAAUUGAUUUACAUCUAACAUGUUUACAAGAUGAAAGCAUGCGUGUCCUUGUGCACUUCCCAGUAUGAAUGUGUGCUGUUGUACUGAGGAAUGAGCUAUAUAUGGAUACAGCGUGUUAACUAAACAAGAACUUUCAUGCAGUAAUUCCUUUCAAAAUUCAUUUUUAAAGCAAACAUAUUGGGGUUUUAUCCCACAACGAAAGUGCAAUUUUAAAUGGGUAUUUUUAUUGCGAGUUUUCUUACUUCCUCACUUUGUGACACAUUUUGUAUCAAUGUCAUUAAUAGUUCAUAUUUUGUAUUAUACUGUAUUUCCCUUUUAUUUGACCUUUUUCUUGCCAAUCCUGCUUACAGAAUCAGAUGUUCUUGUAUUUACGUAAAAAAAACAAUAUAUACAGGAUAUAUAUGGUCUCAAGGAUAUGGAGCAAUUUACCAAUCCCCCUGGAAGUAAAUAUUUCCACAAAUGUUUAAAUUCCCAAAUAUGAGCUUUUAAGAGUUUUGGGAGUAUCUCUCAAAUUCAAAGAGGUUUUUCUUGGGCAUGAAAGUUUUAAGAACAAUGUGGCCCAAGGCAUCAAAACAACAAUUUAUGCAACUAUUUGAACAGGACACAAUAUCUCUCUCUCUCCAUCUGUCUCUUUGCAUUUCUUGAGGGAAAAGCCGGACUGCAACAGAGCGUUUUUUUUGGAGCCGUUAUGGGAAGCAAAGGCAAAAGGAAGAGGGGGGGCAAAAAGCUUCCAUUCACUUCCCCAUAAUGCUCUAUUCAUGAAGCUCCAUGUGCUUUUAUUAUUUAAAGCUUUCUCCCUGCACAGAGAGCUCCAUCCUGUCUCGUUGUGAAGCCAUCGUCAGACUGGGACAUUUCCACAGAAGCAGAAACUAGUCCUAUUUGUGGAAUACUGAUUAUCUAAAAUGGGACCCCUGGGGCUCAACGGAAGGGAAUUCCGGAUUCCACACGCUUCAAUAUCCUACUGCUGGACUACGUUUUUUUUUCUUCUCCUUGGCCCAUCUCUGCCUGAUAUCAUUCUACCAGCUUUGAAAAACAAUUGUCAGAAAAUGCAGACUGUAAUGCGACACUUGUCUGCGUGAAAAUAUAUAAUUAUGCUCAGCUGACGAGUUUUCAAGGCCAAAUUGAGGCAACAUCUCUUGUGUGGAACAACGAUCUGUGUAAGUGUAAUGGUGUCACGGUGUGUGUUUCUGUUUUAUUUUGUAGUUUCCUGCCUCUUGUGUCCCUGGUUUAGCUUCACUUCCUGUCUUCCCCUGUGAUUGUCUGCUGUGUCCCUGAUUGUUUCCACCUGUGUCCAAUCACCUGCACCUUCCCAGUGUAUUUAAGCAAUGUGUGUCUCUUGUCACGUCAUUGAAUGUCGUCACCCUGGUUGUGAGUUCUGGGUUCCUGUCGGCUUUUGAUUAAAGUACUUUUGUUUGGAAAUCUGCGAUUGAGUUCUACUUCCGUCACCCUGAUGUGACAAAUUGAAAAAACAAAUUGCUACAUUUGCUUAUUUGCCUAUUUGUCAGCAUCCAAGAAAUGUGUUGUGUUGACAGCGGAAGUGAAACAUAAAUAAAAGUAAAUCACAGAGAGGAUGCCAGUGGUUAUAGCUUUGUGUGGCGGACUGUAGAUGACGCACAUGGGGGGGGCACACUGAUGCGUGUAUGUUUGUCCGGCUCGUUUGGAAUACAGCGUAUUUUCUUACCUGCCUGUCAGUUGUUGGUUUGGCUGGUAACAUAAUCUCGUGCUCCUCAACUCCCAGGCUUAUCGUUGCUAAUCACUGGAUCACGUGGAAGUCAGAGUAACUGGAAAUGCAGUGCUUUGACCUCCGGCAGCUUCGUUGUCACACCGAGUGGAACGCUGCGGGAAGACGAGCUACUUUGGAAAUAGAAAUGAGGUUGGAGCAGACGGAGACAUAUACCGUAAAAAAAAAAUGAAGUGAAAAAACAACUACCUGUCACAUGAACUGCAUUUGCAAUCAGGAUGAUGCUGCUAAAUACUGGUAAUCAGCGUAGAUUCAUCAGAGCCUUAUUUUCCUGCCAAGGAAGACGGCACACUGUAAUUAUGUAGGCUUCAGCCUCUGCGACAGUCCCCCGCGCUAGCUGUAAUUUCGCCCAAUUUACGUUACAAGGCUUCAAAGGGACUGUAAUUUGAAUCCUUUCAGCUUUAUGGUAAUGUGUUAGCAUUGACUCUCGCAUCUUUUGGGCUCGCCGUCAAAUAAAAAAAAGGUUUUGAUGGAUUCACUGGAAGGAAUGUGAAGGGAAGUAGCUGCCAUUCACACCAUUUAGUUGUUUAUUUGGUUCAGAUAAAAACAUUUAAGAAAAAGGCAUUGCAUCCAGCCGUUGUUACUUCAGGCUUUCGCUCCACGCGUGCGUCGCAGUCGGCCACCUCAGAGCUUGAUUGACAGCAACGUCCGUUCAGGCGGUUGGUAGCUAGUUUCUCAAACGAUGACACAAAUCCUACGUAACCUCCGUCCCUGCGUGCUCACCACUGCACGAGACUAUUGGCUGAUGCCGUUAAAGGGUCAUAGGUCAAUAUAGACCAGUAAGUGGCAUUUAAAAACAAACAUGAAUGAAAAAUCGGUUAAUGGGAAAAAAAAAAAAACGGCUGCAGGGGGUCAAAGGUUGCUGUGUUUCACAUUUAGUUGGACCAGGAUUAAUAACAAGGUUACUUCCUUUUCCUCAUACACUGCUCUCUCCCUUGUCCUUCGCCUCAUCUGCCCUACCCCCCCUCCCCCCACCCUCCCUCUCCUGCUCGGUCUCUUCCUCCCCUGUGAGAGCUUCCUAACCUGUCAGGAUUAGCAUCUCUCCCUGUUUCACACCGUGGUAUCCGGUUUUCUCCUCAUCCUCUAAUGAGCAGCUCUGACUCCAAGGACGGAGCAGACAGCGGCGAAGCAGAUGGAAAACGCGGCCCACAUCGAUGGCGAGCUUCACAUUUCAGGGCUCCCGGACGCCCGCGGUGGGCCGAUCCCCCCCCCCCCAUUUUAAAAAUGAUCUGCUUCCGACAGUUAGGACAACUUAAUUAAUCACUGUAUGGGACUAAUGAAUUGACGGGGCCGGGGUGUAUUGAUCCCUGGGGGGUCAACGGCUCGCCUUUGUGAAGUCUAAUACUCUCCUCUGAGCUUAGAGAUCAAACAUCAAAAGCAGAAGGGAAUAUCACGCUGAAACCUUGCUUUUUCAAAAGAGAUCAGUCAAAAAGACACUGGCCAAAGCCACGUCAGCAAAUAUGCGCAUUAGGCAGAAAGCAAUUCCAUGUCUUCAUCCCCCCGAACGCUCUCCUGCUCUUCUGCCCUUUCCUCACCUCGUGAUACACGUGUCACGUUUAGAGAAAUAACAUGGGGGGGGGAGGGGGGGUUGGCAGCCUUCUUUGAGACGGGGAUCUGUUUCCCAGGCCGAGGUCAGAUGAGGAAUUAAGAGUUGAGAUCGGUGGGCUGCAACCAGACAGUCAGCUGUUCACUCUUCACCUGUUGAUUGGUUCAGAUUUUUGGUAAAGGAGUAGCAAACAAACAGCCACUUUCUUUUUACCUGCAAAGCUUUUCACUUUGCUGAUGAGGAGUGCAUUUGAUUGGCUUCACUCGCUCUCCACGAACGGGAACAAAUGUGUAAAAUGAGUGUAUGUUUUAGCGUUCUGAGGGAAAAAGCUUAACUUCCAGUCUAUUAUUAUCAUCAGGUAACCAAAUAGGAGCAGAAAACCACUAAAGCAUAAAUCUACAUUUUUUCCACAAAUGUCUUUGAUUCAUGCACACGGUGCCCUGAAUUUGCAUAUUCACCUGAAAAGGUUCAACAAAUAGAAGGAGUCACUUCGACUUCAAAGGGUCCUAUUUCUUCAGUGAAAGGGAUGAGAAUCAAUUAAGCAACCCUAAGGAUUAAAUUGAACAAUAUUUGUUUUGAACAUUGUGAGAUCUAACAGUUUAUUUGAUUUUACUUUUUGUGGAAUUCCUUGAUCCUUUUUUAAAUUAAAAAGGAUUUUGGACUCUUAUAGCAUUAUAGGUGAAAAACACAAGCCCCAGCAUAGUAUCGGACCCAUUACACUUCAUUGAAAAACAUUAAUUGUGUAGCUGUGUAAGUGCAGCUCCUGCUGCUGGGUUGUUUUCAGUGUCUUUGUCUGAGCGCGAGGCUUUCAAAGCACUAUUUCACCGCGCUGUGACGGACUGACUCAGUGGCCGACUGCCUGGCUGGAGAUGCCAGCAGAUUUAAGCGGAGCGGACACUCUCUGCGUCUCUGAUCCACACACCAGAGAGCCGGAGCACAAUGGAGUUAGUCAGUGAAGUCUAUCUGCCAUAAACUAAAUCCCUCUCGCUCUCUGCAACUCUCUCCGUCCCCUCUCAACUGCCCGGUCCCCCUUAUGUCCCUCGCCCCCCCCCCCUCUCUCUCUUUCUCUCACAUACACAAUGAAAUGCUCUUUAACUUUGCAAAAUGAACCUAGCGUAACAGCUACUCUCCUCCCCCACCCCCCCAGUCUCUCUCUCAUGCUCUCAUGCUGAUGCAUUGGGUGGGAUUAUGCGCCUUCCCCCUGCCGAGCCGGGCCGCGUGCCACCGGCCGCUGUCUUCAUGGCUGACUGUAUUAAACAUAAGCAGCUUUACUUGAUAGGGCUCUAUCCAGCUUUAAUUACCGAAAACUCACAAAGUCUGUGGACAGCACUCCUCGCUCCCACCACUCUGCAGGACAAACAGGGCCAAAGCCACUCGCCUGUAACUCUGCAGAAGAAUGAGAGGAGAGCGAGGUGAUGGUGGAGCGACAGUGGCAAUUAUGAUGAGAGUUGAACUCAUGCAACUCUGCAGACUGGCGGAAUGAAGAAGCCGCAGUUGUGCAACCGUAACACUCACCAUUAACACUAAGAGUAUUUUUGAGGCCACGCGCACUCACCCUUUUAAUGUUUGUAUUUUAAAUGUCACGAGGCAGUUUAUUCAUUUGCAUGGGAAAAGACGUUGAGGUGCCGGUCUGCAGGUUAGCGCACACACAGUCCUGAGGAGAGGUCUAACCAGGCAAAGGGAAAACACCUGUGUGGGCGGGACAUGAACUGGCCAGGUGAAUAAUAAGGGGGCUGGUCUACUAAGAGUUUUAUGCAUCUGAGUCGCACAUUUCAAAAAGGGCCAUGUUUAAGCAGAGAGGAAAUGUGCAGAGACGAAAUGACUUGUGGAACACAACCACUGAUCAGAGAUGUGAAAAGAAAGCGUGUAGUUAAAAAUGAUGUAUCGCAACACCAGAAACCAAAAGCGUGAGAUAGAAAUCAAAGCAAGGGGAGUCAUAAUGCUGCCCACGGUGGAUGUGAACUAAAACUGCAGUACAGGAAGAAAAUUGAUGAACGAGAAGGUACAUUUGUGAGGAUAUUUUAACCCAGUUUGAGGAGAAUGAGCUGUUUGAGGUAAGGAUCCUCUGCCUGGUUACUUUUGGUUGCUUUGUGAGACCAAACCUCUGUGUAGUUCUGUGGCUUUGUGUGGUAUUUGUUUCAAACACAUCUUAUGCUUUUGCUGUGUCACUUUGAAGUGUCAGUGGACGUGUUUUGGCAUGGCGGGCUGCCCUUUGACCUUAAAGGCUCACAGGCCUGUGGUGCUCGUGCCGACAGCCCGUCUCACACUAUCUGAAUGUUGCUGUGAACCCACUUUUCUGAAAGUAUUCUAGGAUAUGAAGCACCGCCUCAAGACAAGAAUAACAAGUUGACCACACGCUGUAAUUGCUUAAAGAGGACUUUAGGAUGACACUGUGCUGUGCCAUGAAUGAAUUACCCUAAAGCAUUUAAUCAGAGUCACUAUAAAGGCUCACGCCGAACGAGAGGGGGUGAAUGGAGGUGACUGCAGCCCCGAGUACAAAGAGAAAGACGAGCUACUCUAAAUUCAUGUACUUAUUUUAGUUAUGAGUCCCAUCCAAGCAGUUUUGACUGAGUUCAGAUCUGCUUUGAAAAUGGUGUAUGAGCAGCUUCGUAGACCAAAAUGCAAUACUUCACUGGUGUAUAUGUCUACACUAAGCCUGUACAGGGGUACUUUCCUACAUCUCCAUAAUUACAGACAUGAGCGCAUCUAUCCAUAUAGAUGCUUGCUGCUAGUAUGUGCGCAUGGUGUCACCAUCGGCAUUGCGCCGUAUUGUUGCAGCAGACGUUGGUGCUUUCCAGAUAAACAUACAAACACGUGUACAUACUUAAGCAUACUUUUACAUACAUCCGUACAUAAAUCUGUUUGUGUACGGUCAAGUUAAGUGUUCAUCUCUGCGCCAUAGUUUUGUGUGUGACAUCUUCACAGUAGCCCUGAGGUUGACCUGCUUGAUCUUGAAUCUUCCUUCUUAUAUUUUCUGCUUCCAUCGUUCAAUUCAAUUCAAUUCAAUUCAAUUCAUUUUAUUUUGUAUAGCCCAAAAUCGCAAAUUACAAAUUUGCCUCAGAGGGCUUUACAGUUUGUACACAUACGACAUCCUCUGUCCCGAAACCCACCAUUGGCACAGGAAAAACUCCCAAAAAAAUGAAAAGACCCUUUCAAGAGGGAAAGAAGGGAAGAAACCUCAGGGAGAACGUCAGAGGAGGAUCCCACUCCCGGGAUGGACAGACUACAAUGGAUGCCAUGUGUACAGAAUGAACAAUGUAUAAUACAUGCAAUUCCUAUGACAGAAAGGAUUCAAGUAAUUGUGAGUAGUAAGCCAGGCGCACAGCAGGACCACUGCAGGGGCAACCACCAUCAGAUAGAACCACCAUCAGAUAGAACCACCAUCAGAUAGAACCACCAUCCACAGAAACGUGUGGGGAGGGAGAGCACAGAGACUUUAGGAGAGGGUAAUGUCGGUUUAUGAGUACAGUAAUAUGAUUAAUAUCUAAAAUAAUAAUAAUGAUGAUGAUGAUGGCAGCAGCAGGCGUCAGCAUGGCCACGGCAGGUGUCAGGACCAGGGUCCAGAAGGAACUACGAUCAACGGAGACCUGCCAGGGGAGAAAGCACAAAAAAAACUCCCGGAAAGAAGCUGAAUUACUCAUGUGCAUUAAUGAAACGUGAAUUAUUGUAGAAUGCAUAAUAUUGUAGAAUUAUGUAUUCCUUUGUCUACUUUUAGGGGGGGGAGGGGAGGUCCAUGUUUUCUUUUCCCUCAAAACACAUUCUUCUUACUAAAUACAUACUUUCAGCAAAAUUGCAGUGUUUGGUUGCACUGUUUUUAUCUCCGCCAGCAUCCGCUGCACUCUGGAGAAAAGGCGUUGGGUGAAGCUUGAGUGCUGCGCGGCGUCCACAGGUUUUUCACAGCAGUGGUUUUGAAGUUGCCUAAAACGCAAACUGACCCUAAAGUGUCAGCAAUUCUUCUCCCACCCAGCGAUGCAGUUCUUCAUUGACAUCUAGCAAAAGAACACACAGACACAGCGAGACGUUUGGAAAGCAUGCAUAAGAUUAGUUAAGUUGCUUGUUGACUUGUCUCAUUUCCUUUUUUAAAUCUUCCUUAUUCAUCCUAUCAAUCUCUUCAAAGCAUUUAUCCACGCUUUGGCCAACAAGUAAAUCCCAAUUCACAGUUUAAUCUGAUUAUUGAGACAAAACGGGACUAUUUGGUGCAUCAAAUCUUUUGUAAUGAGAUCACAGUUUUUAUGUUUUAAAUAGUAUUUAACCAUCUAUUUUAAAAGCCUUUCAAAGCUGUGGGACUAUUUGUUUUGUUUGCUGGAAGAAGCUCAACUAAUUAUCCACUGACAAGUUCCAUUAAAGCACAGCUGAGUACCAACAUCCACUUCAACAUUAUUGGUCGUGCUCGCUUCCAGUCUUCCAGUCUUCCCUGGUAUUGGCUGUUGCUAGGUUACCUUCAAAUGAAAUAAUUUUAAGUUCACUUACAUUUCUAUUGCCUGUUUUGAUAAAUUGUUCUGCAAAUCUAACCCACCGUAUUUUCAAAAGAAUACAAAUACUAUUAGUGAUGACCACAACAAACUAUAUUUUUUGUAACUACUGUAGUUUCAAUGUGCUAAUCUCUCCAGCAGAAUGAAAAGUAUUAAGGAAUAGGUAUAUUUUAGAUCACUAGUGCAGGCAUUCAUUUAUUAGACUGGAAUGUCUUCUUGGGAUUAUGAAUUGUGGCAAUGCAGUUCUUAUCCUAAGCCAUCAUUUGAUCUUUAAAUGUUGAUGAUACUAUUUUAAUUGCUUGUAAGUCAAUAUUUCAACAGCUUUAUUUUCUGGUGCAUUAUCGGUAAGAAAUUGCAAUGGAUUCCUUGAACAAACGUAUUUAAGUGCGUGAAAGGUUUGUACUUUAAAAUAAGAAAACCGGAUCCAAUAAUGAAGGAAUUAAACGUUCCACUUUUUAUGUCCCAAUAUUUUAACCAUGCACAUUAAUAAGGAGAGGCGAUCCCACUUCAUACUCCUAACGAGGGACGGUUGUAUACAUUUUGCUGGGGUUCCUAAUUUGACCACAUAAGAAGCUUUUUCCACAAAAUUGUUGGAGCAGGAGAACCGAAAAAUCCUCAAGUCAUCUGAGUUAUUGAUGCUCCCCAGAGCGAAGCAUGUUAGCUCAGGCAAAAGAUUCACAUGCUUUAUACAUUUGCUUCUGCCAUUCAUUCUCAAUUUUGCUCCCAUUCCCCCUGAAUGUCAUUUACCUGUGACAGUUUUAUCUUCCCGCUGUCUCCCAAGUCUUACACAUUCUCUUCCAAGAAUGACGACCGCGAAGGUUUUCUUGGCUGCUAUUGAACCAAUGUGUUGGUUUGUUGUCACAAAUUAUAAAGUUUCAGAAAAAAAAGUUCCUUAAUAGACACAGCAUGCACAAUAUUGUUAAAAUGAAAGACUUGAGUAGAUCCUCUCAAUGUAAUAAGGAUUCACAUACACAACACACAGGCAGCAGGUCUCCAGGUCAGGAAGCCCAGCGCAUUGGAGCUCAUCCUCUAUUUUCCCCGGUGCUGUUUUGUUCUUCAUGAACUGCCACCUCACGACUUUUGCAUCCUGCCCUCCGAUGCCUCAUCUUUAUCACCUUCGUAGAAUAGAGAAACUCGAUAUGAAUUGCUGUCAUUAUUGCAAGGACGGGGGAGAGAUGGAGAAAGGCGGAAACGCGAGCGAUGGACGGAGAUAAAAGGAGGUGGGAGGUGGGAAGGAUAAAAUCUAUAUUCUCUCCCUCUAACGCGCCAGCAAUAACCACGGAGGCCAAGCUGUCCAAACGAGGGCGCGAGUAAAAGCCCUGAUAGCCUUUCAGCCCGGCUUCACCGCAGCUAGCCUGUCAAUACGGUAUGGCCGCAGCCUCAGACAGUAAAAGGGAGGAAAAAAUAACACAUCCUGUGUGGUGCAGGUGUGACGUCUCUAACAGCGAGCGAGUGCCCAUCGCUGAUUACUCAGAGACAAACUUGAGCAAUCAAAAUGCUUGAAGAAAAAAAAAGAAAAAGUUUUUAGAGCGCAGUUUAUUGUUCAAUUACACACUGACGAGGGAAGCAGAGACAAUGAUGGGGUGACAGCGAUGUAGAGGGACGCACGCGAUACUGCAGUGUGCGAGAACGUGAAACAGUUUGGUAGGUGUAAUGGAAAGAAUUGCCAUGCAUGGGAAAUAGCUUCAAAGACACUAUGUUUUCUAUAUUCUUUAAUGAACGAGGAAAUUGUUGGAAACGUUGAGUUUCAAGCUCUCUGCUAACACACAUAUCUGCUUCUUUGUAGUCAUAAUAAAACUUUCACAUUAUAAAAGCCUCUAUAGCAGAUAUUUUGCAUUUUGCCUCAGUAUUGCAUUUUCUUUUUAUUGUAUGUCAUUAAAAAUGUAAGAAGGACGAGGGGUUUCCAACACUGUUCAGCAACAGAAUGCACAUAGAGAAAUGUUAAUAGUACAGAAGAAUUACAACAUUAUACGAAGCACUUUGCCUUUGUUUGCUCGCAGGGUGCCUCGGCUCUCAGUUUGAGAAUGAUAAAAGAACCAGAGGCCUUUGUUUCCAACCAUUAUGUCAAUGACAAGCAAAUUUAUGACCACUAACUGCGAUCAGUAUUUUAAUAAUCGGACUAUUGGGUACAGUCAGACACACAUAAAUAUCAUUCUUCAUGCACUUCAAUUCAUAUUGUCAGCAGAAGUGAUAACAAAUCAUAAAACACCAUCCAGCAACGAAAUUAAAAGUCUAUUUUGUGCUGAGAAUACAGAAAUAUGAUGAUGUUAUUGGGGUUAUCUUUUGUUGGUCAGUUUCUGUCACAAACAUGGAGUUUGAAGCCUUGGGGCUUUUUCCAGAAAGGGACAUUUUAGACGACGUUGUAUAUUUGACAAAGAGACACUAUGCAGAUGCAUUAUGGGAUCCAGAGUUCAGGAGCUUGACCCGUAAAAUCUCAGACUCUGCUGCACACGUUGGAUCUGAUAUGAGUGCAGAAAUAGUUUCAAAGCCUUGAGAACUGUAAAUGGUAGAUUGUGCAACAUGUAGCAAGAGUGCGAAAUUAUCCAUCCAUCCAUUCUUUGUCAAACCGCUUAUCCUGCACACAGGCUCGCGGGGGGGCUGGAGUCCAUCCCAGCCAACUUCAGGCGAUAGACAGGGUACAACCUGGAUUGCUCGCCAACCAAUCGCAGGGCUACACAGAGACACA